AAUACGAACGUUAAAAAUAUUAUAAAAAUUGUCAGAAGCAAAAGUCAUAGAUACUAUGUGCGAGUAUCGCAUGAAACAAACAGCUAUUAAGAGAACUGCAGCAAUAUUACAAAUAAAAUAACAAAACACACUCGUUUGUGACGUAAAAAUUCUAAAAUCUAAAAUCUAGAAUAUUCCUUACCUUUUUUCGCAGAUUAUAAAAUAUCUUAUUCACACUAGCUUGCAUCGAUAAAUCACCGUUCAUAGUGACACUUUCAAAUCGCCUGUCGUUUCUCAAUGGCUACGAGAAUUUCCGUUUAUUACUUUAAAAACAACCCGUCCAUUACGUUUCUCUUAAAAAAUUCUUUCGAUUCCGUUGAAAACCGAGCAUCAAACAAGAGACAAACGAUUUGUUGUCAUGGUAAUGUUUCGUUCACACAUAAGCAACGCACAAAUAUCAUGACAGAAUGGCUGAGUGUGUACUGUACGUGUACUCUAUACUAAGAUGGAUGCAACAUGGAAAUAGAAAGAGAACACCAUGUAUAGAUACUUCCUGUCCUUGUUUAAUCAGGCAUGCACACUAGUGGACACUGACGCUGCUCGUAUACCGCUGUUACAUAUUUCCUGUACAAGUGCGCGUCAUUAGACAAGGACGGGACAUCCUCUCUCUACUUCUCUAUCGCGUUUUUAGUUCGCUCACGCGCUCUGUACUUAUAUCUAUUACAUUUCCACCAUAAGCAGCGGCCGUGCAGUGACUUACAAAAGUUCCGAACGGUUCCAUCCUGGGCGGACGGUUAAUUGCGUUCGGUACUCCGAGGGAGCAAGAUUUUGCCAGUGUUGCCCUGACGUGCUACUUCAGCUUCCAUCUUCGCUUCUCGAAACUUCCAACGUCCUUGCUAUUGCAGUCUCCUUAUCCAGGUGAGUACAUAGCUUUUAAAUACUCGUCGCUGUUCAUUCUUACGAGCCUCUCGAGCUUUAGUUGUCAAUUGUUAUCGUUAAAGGAAGAGAAGUUCGCGACAGAUUUUAUCGGACAAAUCGUUUAUUCUCGAAAAGUUCGAACUUGUUCGUUGCGUUUGAAUAUAUAUGAACGGUCGCCAUUUUUCAUGACAUCAUGAUUUUUCAUGUCGUGAGUAUAGCUUCUGACUACCAUAUGUUUGUGAUUUAUGUGAAAUUUGACCAUUAUAUCGUGAUAGAAAAAUAUUUUCAAUGAAUUAGAAAUAUUUUACAUUGUGAAUUAUAAAUAUUUUUUACAAAUUAUAUCGUACUUGAGGUGAAAAUGAACCAUAUAUCUGCUUAUGGAAUAUGAGAUACUAAAUCAUUCGAAACAUAAUAACGAUUAAUUAAGCACAUAUACAAUAACGUUUACGAAUGAAUAUUGCGAAUUAUUGUAUGGCUUUAAUGCGGUAUUUAAUGUUUUGAUUGCGGUCUUUGAAAUGCUAUCAUAGGUGCUGAUAUAAUAUCGCGCGAAAAAGGAAAGUGGUUAAUAUUACAGGUGCACUAGUGCAUUGCGUUUGUCGGGGGUGGUUUUGACGCCGGUGCCGAGGAGAGGCGCAGAACGUGUUCGAUCGACCCGCGAACGUAGCCCGUUCUCAUACUGCGACAGAGUUCGUUUCAGUUAGGCUCAGUUGCUGUUUGUCCGUCGACAGCGUAUAGUCGGGUCGGCCUACGAUUUUUUUUUGCUUCUUGUUUCUUGCGAACUCUCUCGCAACAGCCGUUUUAUACGUACGCCGCCAGUAUAUCGCGUAAUCAUCGUUCCCGUCGCUUCCCCUAUCCUCUCACGUCCUUUGAAGAAGACCUCCCUUUAAUUUUUCGUUGUUUGGAGGGAAUUCAUCGCUCGGACAUAUGCACGACGGACUGCGAAGCACGAGGGUUGAUCGAGGCAUCAGCGUGAUGUACUUUUCAGAUUUCGUAUUUUCUCUACUUUCUAAGGAGAAUUUGAAAGAUAUACAUUUUUAGGAAAUAAAGGUUUUUAUGGAGUCAUCGAUAGGUUAGAAUUUAAUUAAUUCUCUUAUAAAAGGUAUUCCAAUUUUUUAAUAUAUAAAUUUAGUUUCCUCUUAGAGCAUUGUAAUGCGGGCAUUUUAUGAUAUAACGAAUAUACUCGUAUAUAUUUUAGUUUAUUCAUUCGGAAAAUUUCCCUAGUAGGUCGGUCUGCAGCUCACAUGCAGCACUUGGUAAAAAUUUGUUUAGUUAGAGGUUGGCCAUUCUUCUUGCUAUAAAAAUAUCGCGAAAUCAUAUCAUAUGAUAAAGCACCCUCUGAAAGCUAGAUGCUCGAUAACGAGCCUAAUGAUUCUCGGUAGUUUGUAAUGUCAAGCUUUGAAUUGGCGAGAUCACUCUGCUGUAAAACCGCCGUCCAGCAGCGACCACAUUCUUUAACCACGUUCAAGG